rnacentral:rRNA from 1 species
AGCGAACGCUGGCGGCAGGCUUAACACAUGCAAGUCGAGCGGGCACUUUCGGGUGUCAGCGGCGGACGGGUGAGUAACGCGUGGGAACGUGCUCUCUGGUUCGGAAUAACUCAGGGAAACUUGAGCUAAUACCGGAUACGCCCUUUUGGGGAAAGGCUUGCUGCCGGAGGAUCGGCCCGCGUCUGAUUAGCUAGUUGGUGAGGUAACGGCUCACCAAGGCGACGAUCAGUAGCUGGUCUGAGAGGAUGAUCAGCCACACUGGGACUGAGACACGGCCCAGACUCCUACGGGAGGCAGCAGUGGGGAAUAUUGGACAAUGGGCGCAAGCCUGAUCCAGCCAUGCCGCGUGAGUGAUCAAGGCCUUAGGGUUGUAAAGCUCUUUUAUCCGGGACGAUAAUGACGGUACCGGAGGAAUAAGCCCCGGCUAACUUCGUG